rnacentral:rRNA from 1 species
UGGGGAAUUUUGGACAAUGGGGGAAACCCUGACCCAGCAACGCCGCGUGAAGGAUGAAGUAUUUCGGUAUGUAAACUUCGAAAGAAUAGGAAGAAUAAAUGACGGUACUAUUUAUAAGGUCCGGCUAACUACGUGCCAGCAGCCGCGGUAAUACGUAGGGACCAAGCGUUGUUCGGAUUUACUGGGCGUAAAGGGCGCGUAGGCGGCAUGACAAGUCACUUGUGAAAUCUCUGGGCUUAACCCAGAACGGCCAAGUGAUACUGUCGCGCUAGAGUGCAGAAGGGGCAAUCGGAAUUCUUGGUGUAGCGGUGAAAUGCGUAGAUAUCGGGAGGAACACCUGUGGCGAAGGCGGCCACCUGGUUGGAUACUGACGCUGAGACGCGAAAGCGUGGGGAGCAAACAGGAUUAGAUACCCCCGUAGUCCCUGAGCGGGCUGGCAAGGCGCAU